UCAAACAAGCUGUUGGAUGUGAAACAGAAGCGGACAUCAGAUUUCCCAUUCUUGGAUGCUGUAGCAUAUCUGGACAAUACGCAUCAGGGACAGAAACUGUUUUCCUCAUAAUCAUCAGGAACUGUGGAACCCUGCUUCCUGUCCCACCUGUCAACCCGAGUGACUGAAUGUGCUCCACUGUAAUCUCUCAGAGAAGUUGUUGAACAGGUAUCACACCACUUCACCAAAUACAAGGUGGUUUCUCCAAACAUAGAUUCCAACAAUCCAUGUCCUGUUCUGUGGAGAUGUCCUACUUGUCUGGGACACCGUCAGAGUCUGCACUUGUAGCUCUAUCUCUUGCUCAUCAAGUAUCUCGGAGUUCACUUAGACCGCUAUUUUAGUUGGAACGUCUAUGUGGAAAGCAUGUGUUCCCGUUUACAGCAAAGGUUGUACUUCCUGCGCAGGCUGAGACUGUAUGGUGUGGACAAAAGCAUCAUGUUCUUAGUUUAUCAGGCGGCACUGGAGAGCUUGGUCCGAUACGGGAUGUCAGCCUGGUAUGGCAACCUUACUGUAAAGUUGAAAACCAAACUGGCUCGUUUGUGCACACGGCCAUGAAGGCGAUGGGAAAAAGUGACUACCAAUCCUUGCAGUCCAUUUAUCAACAAAGUGUUCUCAGGCAAGCCCAGAGGAUAGCGACUGAACCAUCACAUAUCCUUUACUUAGAACUUAGAACGAGCUCCUACCCUCGGACAGAUGAUAUAGAGUCCCCAGCUGCAAACUCAACCAUUGUAAGAAUUCAUUUUGUGACCAGCCGAUUAGCCAUCAGCCAUACAGCUGUGGGGGAACUAAUGAUUGGUUUGGCCGUUGCAGCAGGGGGUUCAAAUUGAUUGACGGACGUAGCUCCAGUAUACUCCUGAACACUCCUGGACAGGUAGGCACUGUGCAGCACGCGAAACACUGGUAAGCUUUAGAUUUGUAUUAAUAUUGUUUCUUCUUUUCAGACCAGUCUUCUGUGGCUGCAGUGCAGAGUCUGCUGACGUGUCUCUGCUUAUCGGCGGCGUCAUGCGUGUGUAGGGUCGGACAUCCGAGGACCUUCCUACAAUUCUGGAUGAGCAGUGAAGUUGACAUCGUGGGGUGUACUCCACCAGGAUGGCUGCCCUUCCUGAGCCUGGUACAACUGGGGAGGAGGGAUUCAGGGAUUUUAAUCAACACUGAACUCAGUUAACAAUAGCUGGGAAGAAAACAGAA
ensembl:lncRNA